GGUUUCGUAGCUCAGCCGGCAGAGCGCGUGACUGCUAACCACAACGUCGCAGGUUCCGAUCCCUGCCGAUACCG
rfam:Gregarina niphandrodes unplaced genomic scaffold scaffold00094, whole genome shotgun sequence.